AUUGCUUUGGCAGAUAAGUGCAAAGAAUUUAGAAUUCAAAAAUGUAAUUGUAUUACAAGUAAUA
rnacentral:tRNA from 1 species